UAAAAUCUUUAGGCUCUUCAUUUAAAAUGUUUAUGGAACUAUAAAACUACAAAAUUAAUGUUUGCAUGUAUUGAAAGGGUAAGAAGUUCUACCAGCCAAGAGUUUAUUAUAAUGUUUUCUUUUCUUCUUUUCAUACCUUGCUUCUCUUUCAUUACUAGAAUGCCAUGCUGAUUUCAAGAUUUUCUUAUGUAUCUUCUCUACCCUACUGAUAAUUCUGUUUUCUGGGUGAUAGUUGGAAGUGGGCCCUUCCCUGCAGGACCUCAGCUGGCACUUGCAAAGAAAAAGAUUACAGUGUUUUUAAAGAAAUGUAUCAUGAAAGAAAGAUGCAGAUUUCCCUGUCCAAGUCUCUGCCAGAGGGAAUGAACUCAUAAGUAUCAUAAAUCAAGACAAUGAAAACAGGCAGUUAAAGUCCAGUUCUUGUGAUGACAAAGUAUACUGUUUCUUUAGUUUUGCAGUAGAAAGUGAGGCUGUAUGUGUAUCUGGUUGGGGGUUCUCUACAGAAACAAAAAGAUCACCAUAGUUUCAGGAUGUUAUUCCAUUAAUUUAAAGAAGUGACAUAACUUAACAGUCAUUCAAAAAAAAAAAAAAAUCAUUCAUGCCCCUCACAUGAUAAUUCUCUCAAAAGUUUUUUAGAAGUCUUAUUGCUGUCCCUUGGACAGAAGUCAGACAGCAGCUUGGAGCUCUUGAGAACUAAAUCAGGAGUUUCCAAAGGUUGACUUUAGAAUAUGACACUAAUUGCUUUAAUCAAAGUGUACGGAGUGUUUCUUCUGGGAUAUCAGAGAAGAGGUUUGUGAAUUUUUAAAAGAAGUUAUAACUCACCUCUGAUUUUUUUAUUUUUAUUUGUUUAUUUAUAUAUUUAUCUGGUGCUGUCUCUUGCCAUGGUGAUGAAAAAGAACAGAGUGGCAUUGCAGAGCUCCCUUCCAGAUCUGCAGCUAGUACAGAUCUGAAAGCUGAUUAAAGCCUAAUCCAAAGGACUGUCAAAACUGUGAUAUACAUGACUACUUGAGGAAACAAAAUCAGUAUUACCAACCUCAUCCUACUUCCAUAAAAGUCAAGGACGUAAAUUUUCAGUGCAAACAGCAUCAAACACUUAGGUUUCUUGUUACUCCUUAACUAAAUAGCUUUUUAGUGAUUUCAGUAGUUGCUUUUUAACUUAAAAUUCCUCAUAAGUAAAGCAUCUUGAAAGGCCUGGUAUGAAAAAAAUCAGUAGCUCCUUAUUAUAAAAUUUUGUUAUUAAAAUCAGGUUUUAAUUAUUCUCCCAGUGCUUCACAAAAACAUAUUUGCAGAUCCAGGAGGGUUUCUGAAUCUGUCUUUUCUUCUCCCCUCCUGUUCUGUAAUCACUACAGAGUUUAAAGAGCAUAUUCAUGUGAGAACACUUUAUUUUCUAAAUAUGCACAACUGGUAUGUUUAGAUGGUUAUUUUUCAGAGUGAAAUUCUGAGAAGACAGGAUCCUUCUCAGCAGGUCAGGUAUUAUAGGCUUAAGUCACAAGUAACGUUUUCCUUCACCUUUACUUUUCCAUUUCAGUGCACGCAAAUAACAGCUAGGUCAUAGAAAGCUUUUAACUUGUAUAGUAGAAUCAUAUUGUAAACAUAAUUCAAGGAUUUGACAAAAUAAACACUUAUGUGAGUACUCUUAACUGAGUUAU
rnacentral:lncRNA from 1 species